UGGGGAAUAUUGGACAAUGGGCGAAAGCCUGAUCCAGCCAUGCCGCGUGUGUGAAGAAGGUCUUCGGAUUGUAAAGCACUUUAAGUUGGGAGGAAGGGCAUUAACCUAAUACGUUAGUGUUUUGACGUUACCGACAGAAUAAGCACCGGCUAACUCUGUGACAGCAGCCGCGGUAAUACAGAGGGUGCAAGCGUUAAUCGGAAUUACUGGUCGUAAAGCGCGCGUAGGUGGUUUGUUAAGUUGGAUGUGAAAUCCCCGGGCUCAACCUGGGAACUGCAUUCAAAACUGACUGACUAGAGUAUGGUAGAGGGCGGUGGAAUUUCCUGUGUAGCGGUGAAAUGCGUAGAUAUAGGAAGGAACACCAGUGGCGAAGGCGACCACCUGGACUAAUACUGACACUGAGGUGCGAAAGCGUGGGGAGCAAACA
rnacentral:rRNA from 1 species